ACGCGGAAUGUGUUCUGUAAACGUAAUGUAAUGGUUGCGAUGCAUUCAUGAUAUUCUACUGGAAUUUUCGAACUGGGAAAUGUGCAGAGAAUUAUAAUAAACUUCCACAUAUGUUCAUUUAAAAAUCUGUGAGACCGUUUGAGCCAGCACGACUAACUAAUGCAAUUCCAAAGGAAAGAAAACACGAAAGUUGUCUUCAUGAGGUUUUACAAGGGGUUUAGUUUUACAAGGAGUUUAUGGCAACUAAAAAAAAUUGGAAGGUGAUGGCAGACUUCCCAUGGCAGAUUCAAAUACAUAGACUGAUAUAAGUUUCGCCCGUGGGAUGUUGACUGUUAACUACCGUAAUGAAAAAUCUCCUUUGGGGCAAUACUAAGCGCAAUUGUCCAGUUUACAUUAGUAUGGGUCAUAAUUUUAGACGAUAUGUUAAUUAACAGUUAGAAAUAUUUCUCAAUCUAUCCAUUUCAAGUAACACUGCUGCUACUAAUCGUUGAGGAUUGCCCUCAUGAGGACACAGACAAUCUUGGCUGCAGCAUCAGGUUAUUUUUAUCAUUUUAAUGUACUAUUGUUAUAACUGAAUAAGCAUGCAAAAUUUCAAAGUCGUAAGUUUAGAGGAAGUGGUUCAAAUCUGGCUUGCAAGAUUUGACUUAGACAUACAUACAUGUGUAGUUAAAAAAAACUCAUUUUAGUGUAUUGCCAUCAGAACUGAACAAGCAUGCAAAAUUUCAAAGUUGUAAGUGGUUCAAAUUUGGCUCGCAAGAUUUGAAGUAACAUACAAACAUACACAUAAGUGUGUAAAAUGUAAAGUGUGUAAAAUUAAAAAAAAAGCUUGUAAGAAAAGAAUUUCUACUGCAGUUGGGGAAAAUCGGAUAUUAGGGAGUAUUCUAAUCUAAUAAUUAAACUUCACCCUUUUGCCAAAUGUAUGCGUUUAUAAAACCUCUUUUUAUGAUUUGGAUCAAUUAACAUCUAUUAGACUAAUAACAGUAGGCAUCUAAAAAUUAUCAAAGAGCUAUAUCUCAGUAGGUGUUGACAUCUGGUCAAAGCUAAGUUGAUUUAGUAUAUAAAAAAAAAAUACAAAAUGGGAAAAUUCAGUAAAAAUAUAAAGUUUAAUUAAAUUUGAAUACCCCAGAAUAUUCCGCUCUUCGUAGAUAACUAGUAGAUAACUGUUUCGGAAAAUAUAAAUGCAUGUUUCUCCGAGCUAGGCACGUUAGUCACAUGUAACCCGUAAUUUCA